rnacentral:rRNA from 1 species
GGACGGCUCAUUAACACGUGGUUAACAUACCCUCAGGUGGGGGAUAACCUUGGGAAACUGAGGAUAAUACCCCAUAGAAAAAGCAGUCUGGAACGAUUCUUUUUCGAAAGCAUAUGCGCCUGAGGAUCGGACUGCGCUCGAUUAGGUAGUUGGUGGGGUAAUGGCCCACCAAGCCUACGAUCGGUACGGGCCUUGAGAGAGGAAGCCCGGAGAUGGGGACUGAGACACGGCCCCAGGCCCUACGGGGCGCAGCAGGCGCGAAACCUCCGCAAUGCACGAAAGUGCGACGGGGGGAUCCCAAGUGCUCAUGCACAGCAUGGGCUUUUAUCAAGUGUAAACAGCUUGAGGAAUAAGGGCUGGGCAAGUUCGGUGCCAGCAGCCGCGGUAACACCGACGGCCCGAGUGGUGGCCACUUUUAUUGGGCCUAAAGCGUCCGUAGCCGGUCCAGUAAGUUCUUGUUUAAAUCCUGCGGCUUAACCGCAGGACUGGCAGGGAUACUGCUGGACUUGGGACCGGGAGAGGACAAGGGUACUUCAGGGGUAGCGGUGAAAUGUGUUGAUCCUUGAAGGACCACCUAUGGCGAAGGCACUUGUCUGGAAC